rnacentral:tRNA from 1 species
GCCUGGGUGACUCAGUGGUUGAGCAUCUGCCUUUGGCACAGGUCGUGAUCCUGGGACCUGGGUCGUGGGAUCGAGUCCCACACCAGGCU